rnacentral:rRNA from 1 species
UACGUAGGGUGCGAGCGUUGUCCGGAAUUACUGGGCGUAAAGAGCUCGUAGGUGGUUUGUCGCGUUGUUCGUGAAAACUCACAGCUCAACUGUGGGCGUGCGGGCGAUACGGGCAGACUGGAGUACUGCAGGGGAGACUGGAAUUCCUGGUGUAGCGGUGGAAUGCGCAGAUAUCUGGAGGAACACCGGUGGCGAAGGCGGGUCUCUGGGCAGUAACUGACGCUGAGGAGCGAAAGCGUGGGGAGCGAACAGG